GGGGCCGACCUGGUUUCGACGUGGGCUACAAAGCAGAACCGUGCAUACCGAGGGGUGGUCACCUCGUAAAUACAACCGCAAACCAAUAGUCGCAAACGACGAAAACUACGCUCUA
rnacentral:tmRNA from 1 species